rnacentral:rRNA from 1 species
CCCUUAGAUGUUCUGAACCGCACGCGCGCUACACUGAUGCAUUCAACGAGCCUAUCCUUGACCGACAGGUCCGGGUAAUCUUUGAAUCUGCAUCGUGACGGGGAUAGAUUAUUGCAAUUAUUAAUCUUCAACGAGGAAUGCCUAGUAGGCGCAAGUCAUCAGCUUGCGUCGAUUACGUCCCUGCCCUUUGUACACACCGCCCGUCGCUCCUACCGAUUGGGUGUGCUGGUGAAAUGUUCGGAUCGGCCGUUUGUCGCGGUUUCCGCGUCAUGUGGCUGAGAAGUUCAUUAAACCCUCCCACCUAGAGGAAGGAGAAGUCGUAACA